GAUGAACGCUGGCGGCGUGCCUAAUACAUGCAAGUCGAGCGAACGGACGAGAAGCUUGCUUCUCUGAUGUUAGCGGCGGACGGGUGAGUAACACGUGGAUAACCUACCUAUAAGACUGGGAUAACUUCGGGAAACCGGAGCUAAUACCGGAUAAUAUUUUGAACCGCAUGGUUCAAAAGUGAAAGACGGUCUUGCUGUCACUUAUAGAUGGAUCCGCGCUGCAUUAGCUAGUUGGUAAGGUAACGGCUUACCAAGGCAACGAUGCAUAGCCGACCUGAGAGGGUGAUCGGCCACACUGGAACUGAGACACGGUCCAGACUCCUACGGGAGGCAGCAGUAGGGAAUCUUCCGCAAUGGGCGAAAGCCUGACGGAGCAACGCCGCGUGAGUGAUGAAGGGCUUCGGAUCGUAAAACUCUGUUAUUAGGGAAGAACAUAUGUGUAAGUAACUGUGCACAUCUUGACGGUACCUAAUCAGAAAGCCACGGCUAACUACGU
rnacentral:rRNA from 1 species